rnacentral:rRNA from 1 species
GUGAAAUCCUGGCCAGCAGGCUGGGGAAUACGGGUGGUGCAAACGGUAUCCGGAAUCACUGGGUUGAAAGGUUGCGGAGGCGGUUUUAGAAGUCAUAGGUGAAAGGCUACGGCUUAACUGUGGGAUUGCCUUUGAUACUGUUGGACUGGAAUUGAGUUGAAGUUAGUGGAAUGCGGCAUGUAGCGGUGAAAUGCAUAGAUAUGUCGUAGAACACCGAUUGCGAAGGCAGCUAACUGGGCUUAAAUUGACGCUGAGGCACGAAAGCGUGGGGAUCGAACAGGAUUAGAUACCCGAGUAGUC